UACGUAGGGGACGAGCGUUGUCCGGAAUUACUGGGCGUAAAGGGCGCGCAGGCGGUAUAUCAAGUCAGCUGUCAAAGACUGGGGCUCAACCCUGGUAUGUGGUUGAAACUGAUAUGCUGGAGUGCUGUAGAGGCAAGUGGAAUUCCCAGUGUAGCGGUGAAAUGCGUAGAUAUUGGGAAGAACACCGGUGGCGAAGGCGACUUGCUGGGCAGCAACUGACGCUGAGGCGCGAAAGCCAGGGGAGCAAACGGGGAUUA
rnacentral:rRNA from 1 species